UUAGCCGUCUGCUCUCUGGCCUCAAGUGAUUUCUUCCUAAACCGGCUGCCCCCAAGGAUAUAACAAGUGGUGACGAGGAUGGGAUACCAGUGCUGCCCCAGCAACAGAAGGAAGUAGAAGUCAAGUAGAUUUCCUCAUCUUGGCAAGUGGAUAUCCCAAGAGUGCACUCUGCCCUAUCACAUCAGAACUUGCAACAACACCAGCAGGUUUUUUUCCUCUAUGUACUUCAACUGAGUGGUAGGUUAAUUAGUUAGCUGACUAGUUAACUGAAUGAUUUCAACAGAGGAGGAGGAGAAAGAGUCUGCAUGGAAUCCAGUUGGAAGUUUCUAGAAGAGAAGAUAUUGUUGCAGUGUUUUUGACUGAACAGACUAUAGAUUUUGGUCAGCCAAGACUGUAACUGAGACUCAUGUGAACUCAACCUAAGCUUUUGGGAACUCUGAGUUACUUCUCCCUGUAUUUCUCUAGCAACUGACCUGUUUAGAUUUAAUUUGUUUAUGUUUAUGUGUAACUGAGGAGUUAAUGUAUGUGGUUUAUAAAGUAGCCUUAUGUUGUAGAAAUUAAGUUAUUAUUUUUCUGUUUCUUUAUCAUUAUAAGAUUUUAUGAAGUUGGUAUUUAAGAAUUAAGUUAUGGUAAUUCAUUUUGCUCUUUUUGGACUUAAUUGUAGGGAGGCUGACCCUGUGCAAUCCUUGCUGAAAAUCCUCAGUGACUGAAUUCUGGGUCUCCAUGUGCAUUACUAUGGGAGUUGGUUUUAGAGAGUAGGAAAAAGGCAGUGAAGUAAACUCUAGCCCACCCAAAGGUUACAAAUUGCACCUGAACAGACAGGGACUUGAGGACUGCUCAGAGCUCACCUCUUAUUUCUUUUUGAGGAAUAUUGCAGCAGUUACUUAUGAAAGAAUUUAGUGUUACUGAAAAUAGUAAUUGAAUUUGUACACUGUAUUAAUAUUGUUAAGAUAAUGGAAACUUGUGCACAAUUUGGGUUAGAUCUCUAUGGGACCAUUUUGAUCAGUGACGUGUCCCCUUAUUGUACAGCAAAAGUUAAGAGGGCUAUUAGGAAUUUUGGUCAUGUAACUAAUAUAAGGCAGGUGAACAAAAAGAUAUGAUAUUUUUUUAAUUUGAAGAUGCUGGGUCUGUGAUACACAUAGGGAGGAACUGUGUGUUGUGGAAGCUCGAGCAGAAAUGGGAUGAGACUCGUAUUCAUUUUGAGGUUUUGCCAUUUAUAUCCACUGGUUCUGUGCCCAGAGUACCUCAGUGCAGGGAUCAGGGAUAUUCACUGUAUUUUGACACAGGGUUCAAGACUGGGACACAGGAUGUGGUUACACCUGUGGGUGAUAGAUAGACUAGGUGGUUAACAGAUUCUACACCUGUUAUGGACGGAGGUCCAGUAGGAGUUUCUGCACCUGCUGUGAGUCUCCCUCUUGACAUGCAACAUCUUUGUUAGACCAGGUGCUGAAAUCUACCAGUGGAACUGUGACUGAUGUGGAAUUUAAACUGAAAUGUUUUUUGGGUAAUUCACCCAGACCCCGUGGAGAAAUAGAUUAUUUUACCUGGUGAGCAUAAGUCAAAGUGAUAUGGAAGACAGUGAAAUUUCUGUCAUGGGUCCAAACCAUCGCAGUCAUCUUUCUUGAUUCUUCUGUAACAGCUUUAUUUCUUGCCUUAGCCAUUUUUUCUCUCUUCAUUUUUUAUUUUUGUAGUCUUUAAACUCUCAAGUAUUCUCUUCUGCCAGGUUCUAGUUCUUUGUCUCAUGGUUUGAUCUUUACCUAUUUCUCUUGUCUUCCAAUUGUCAUAUUUUUUGUCUUCUCUCUUUUUAUCUUCCCAAUCUACCUUGUCAUUUAUUCUCUGUAAAUCCUCCUUGGUCAAUGCAGUGAAGUCAAUAUCACCUGCGAAUCUAAAGUUAUGCUCUGUUCUACCACAUAAUAUGACUCUUCCUGUUUCAUCUCUCAAUGCUACAGCCAUUACUGCCCCCAGUACUCAGUUAAACAAAUCUGGUGAUAGCAUGCAUCCUUGUCUAACUCCUAUGGUCAUCCUGAACCAUUCUAUCCAUUUCUUGUGUACUCUCACCUUAUACAUUGUCUUGUUGUAGAUGUUUUCUGUCAGCUUGAUCAGUUUUUUGGGCAUGCCAUACAUUCUUAUAACUGGCUACAACUCUUUCUGACAAAUGCUAUUGAAAGCCAUCUUGAAGUCCAUAAAGUAAUUGCAACAGGUUCAGUUGUGUUCUAUGUACUUCUCCAAUAUCUGUAUUAUCACAAAUAACUGAUCUGUUGUACUUCAUCCUGGUCUGUAUCCUGCCUGUUCCUCUGUAAGUGCCACAUCUACACAUCUCUUCAUUUGCCUCAGCAAUGUCUUAGUGAAUGUUUCUCCCAGCACAUUCGGUAAUCUGAUUCCUUUGCAGUUCUUGCAUUCACUUUUACCUCCUUUUUUAUAGACUGGUUCUAUUAUCACUUUCCCUGAUUCAUUCGGCAUUUGCUCUUGUUCGUAAAUCUUGAUGGACAGCUUGUGCAUCAUCUUUACUAUAUGUUCCUCACCUGUUUGCAGCAGCUCUGUGGUUGUCAAUUCCCAGCACCUUUUUCUUUUUCAAACUUUCUAUUAGGAUCUUUAUUUCUUCUAAGAAUUUUGAUAUCUGCUGUCCCUCAUUUGUGCUGUGAAGUUUCUCCAGGACCACUUCAAUCUACUCAGGUUCUGCACAUUGUACAGCUGUUCAAAAUUUCUUUCCAUUGCUUAUUCUUUGCUUGUUCAUCCUCAAUUACUUGUCCAUGAUUGUUUUUCAUUGCUGACAUCUUCACCUCAUAUGUCUCAUUCAGUUCUCUUAUCUUGUGAUACAACUGUGUUGUACUUCUCUUCACACAAUUUUCUGCUUUGUAUAUCCAGGUGUUUGUCUCUCUCUGCUUUCUGUUUGAUCUCUUUGGUCAGCCUUUUGUACUUAUUUCUUAGACUUACACCCUCCUAUUCUCCUUCAUCAUCUAUGCUUGUCACGCAACUGCAGCACUUCAACCAUUAUCCAACUGGUUUCUUUGUAGUCCAAUACUUGUUCAGUCACUCUCAUAAUCCCAUUUUAUAUACUUUUACAUGUCUCGUCAACAGUCAUUUCUUCUUUCACCAAAGAUUUGCUGAGGACUUCACAUAUACGUGUACUAUUAUAGCUGCACUGGAUUUGAUACUGAAUCUCGCCUUCAACAUAUGAGUAGAUAAAUACCAUAAGAGGCUGGCUUACCUUUGGCUUUAGAACCAAUGUAACUCUGUCCUGGCAUCCACCAUUUUCUUUUCUUGAUGUCAUUAUCCUAUGUUCAUCAUGAUAUAAUUCUCCUUCCCAACUCAUUUUGCAUAGACUGAUGAUUUCUCAUAAUGUUCAACUUAUGCAUCAUUACCGCAAGUGCUCCAGCCUGGAUCAACUUGUGAGCAGGUAUAACGCUGUCCUAACGGAUGGCUAUAAGUGCAGUUGGCAAAAAGACUGUUCAUGAGCAUCACAUGGAGUUGUUUAUGACAUAGUAGUUAAGACAUUCAAAUUGCUGUCUGUUCUGAGUUAUGGGCCAGUGAAAACAAGCUAUCCGGCUAUUGAUAGAUCCACUUCCUAUAUACAUAUAUAUACAUAUAUAUAUAAAAUGCUUGUUCAUCCACAUGAAGACAGUUCUGAGUCCUGGUGAAUUGGUGGUUAGUGUUUCAUGCAGCUGCACAUUGUCAUUUAUCAGUUCUUCUGGCUUCCCAUGAGAACUCUCCUGAGGUAACUGAAAUAAGGUUCUUUAUUGUAGCUGACUUUCUGAAGAACAGAACAACUUUGUGAGAACACAGUGCCCUGCAGAUUUAUGAGCGUUAAGAUGUACUGAGUGAUUGAUGUUAGAUUUUCAGAUGCUUUUUCUGGAUGUGGUGAAUUAUUGAUUGGAUUUGUUAUUCUCAGUCUCUUCACAUUUGGCCCUGGGUCAAUUCAUUGUAGGGCUGGAUUUGUUUCACCAAAGUCCAUUACAGGAGUCAAAGAUGACCUUGUCUCCCCUUAAGGUCAGGUUCAGUUCUGUUUUCCAAAACAAUGUGAGAUAUUAUACAAGAAAGUAGUUUUUCCUCUAUACAAUCACAUUAAGGUACUCUUAGCAAUUCAUAUUGCUGCAGCUUAACAAAUCAUUAUAAAGGAAUAAUUAUGUAAGCUGGUGCAACUCCUAUUGACUUCAUUAUGAUUCCUAUCCACUUACACCAGGGUUGAAUUUGGCUUAUAAUUUUAUUUUUCUUUAAAAUGCAGAGAAGGAGUGUAUGAGGGGAAGUCAGAGUAUUAUCAGGAGAAAGGCAUAGGAAGGGAAGGUACAGAAUAUUUGUUUUGUGUCUUUGCAAUGAUUCUUCUGAAAAAGAAAGUAUCGUGUCUAUGGAUUUCAGCAUGCGUAGAAGAUAGGAAUAAGAAAAAAUCAAUUUCAGGGGAAUUUUGGACAUUUCUGACCAGUUCGGAGUGGUGUCAUAUCUAUAAUAAUGGUACAUUAGUGUCCACAAAAUACACAGAUCAAACUGUUUUCUUUAUUUGUGAGUUUCAUUAUUCCAUUCCAUAAUAAAAAUAAGACAAUCCAGAAGCUAUCAGUAUAUUCGGGAAAUUAAUAGAAGCCAGACUGGGAGUCAGGAAUCCUGAUACAUUUUCCUUACUCUUUACUGUUGUAUGACCUUAGGUAAGUUACUAAAGCGAAAAUUUCCCCCAAGUGUCCACUAAUGUUGAGUUUCUUGAUUUCUGGGUGCCUAAUUUAAGGCAUAUAGGGGCUCAUUAUCGGGGUGCUAAGCACCUACAGCUCCAUUUGAAGUCAGUGAAAACUACAGAUGCUCAGUAUCUGUGAAAAUCAGAUUCUAAGUGUUUCAAGUUUAAGCUCCCAAAAUUAGUGCACCCAGAAUUAGCAGACACUUCUGAAAACUUUGGCUUAAACAUAUCUUGUGGCUCAGUUUCACACAUUUCUAAGAUUGGGAUAAUACUAACCUGACUUGGAGGGUUAUCUUGAGACUUAAUGAAUAUUAAUCAAGUACUUCAAAAUUCUCAUAAGAGAUUUACUAUAAAAGAGAAAAGUAGUAUUACCCUUCUCAGUUAAAGUCACGUGGUUUCUGACUGCAUCCAGAUUACCAAGAAAAUGCAUCAUUCAGUCAGUCACUGCUGAUCACAUACUAAAUAUAUUUAUGUACAAUUUUGACAAACUGACAGAGAUAUUGUGACACAAAGGUCUUCUGUAGAUAACUUGUUUUAAAUAACAAAAUCAUUUCCUUUUAUAUCAACUUCAUGUCACCUCAGCAAAGUCGAUGUAUUAUGCCAUUUUUUGCUCAUCUAUGUUGCUGAUAUGAUUAUUCUGCUUGAUCAUAAGCAUUGUUUUUAUUUUCCGUCCCCACAUUUGUUAUUCACAGCUCAGCUCCUGCAGAAACCCUUGCUAUUUAUGUAUAGCAGGACAGCAUUGUCUAUAAAUAUAGUGUAAGGAAUACUCAUGCACGAGUAAGGGGAUAAGAUAGAUGACCUAACCGGUCUUUUCUCUCUCUAAUUUCUAAGAUACUAUGAAUAUAAAGUGGUUCAGUUGCUCAGAUACUUUUCUUCCAUAAUCUCAUCUGUGAAAUAUAUUGUGAAGAGCUCUGGAUAGCUGUCCUCCUAAUAAUCUGAUCAUUCAUCUUCUUUAGGAUUAUUUUCUCAUAAGAAGUAUGAGUAAUCCUGAUCCCAAAUCUUCAUGUUCCAUUUGAAAUGUAUUGCUCCAGAGUUAAUUGCUCAGCAGCUUGACAGAAAUAUAUGGACAGUAAAAUAAUUGAGUGUAUGUCCUUAGAUCAUCAUUAUCCUCUUGCAUGUAUAGAAAAAAGAACACUCCAAUUUGCUGUGCUUCAUUUCCUCUUGGUGCAAACAGUAAUGCUAAUUCCUUAUACCAUUUGUACUGUCCUAGCUAGGUGUGUCCCUUUGCACAGUCUUAGCCACUUCCCUGCCUUAUGUGUUCAUUCAACUUUCUCUUCAUUUCUUUUGCUUGGUGUCACUAUUGAUACCUGUUCAUCUAGAUGUCUUUUCUGCAGAGCUCCCAUUGCUCUCCUCUGCUCUCUACAAAUGCCACCUCUGUUCAUUUCUACUCUUUUCUCGUUGUGCUGAAGGACAAACAUCUGUUGUUACCUUGUCCCCAUUUGUCAUCUUGUUUUCUACCAGCUCCUUGUUUCCCUCUAGAUUACACUAGAUUGCUGACAUUAUAUUGCCUCACGUCUUCUAUAAUCCUAGAAAUGUAAUGGGGAUAAACAUCUCAAACAGUCACAUAAAUCUUUUUGAAGUUUCAUUCUUGGCUUUACUGCAAUUUGGAGAUCGUUUUAGGACCUUUGUCUCCUUUCACAGAACUUUCAUCCACCUCUUCGCCACUGGAAAUAUCACAAUACCUGAACACUUCAUUUCUCACAGGCUAUGGAUAAGAGUUGGAGUCUGUUUCUUAGUGAUCGAUUUCAUAUGCUCAGCUUUUCUUCAUGUCAUCUUCUAAGAAGGUUUUUUUUUUUUUAGUAAGUGAUUGCUGUUAUGAGUGUUGAUGGGAUUUGAGAUGAAACAGAGUUUCAUGCUGGUAAUGAGAACUGCUGGACUUGAGCCAGUAGCAGCUUUUAUUUUAAAUCAUUUUUUUUUAAUUUACUGAAUGUGCCCAUAAAUAUGCUGCUUAUCUUGAGCAGCCUACUGUUUGAAUAACUUUUGUACAGCACCGGGUAGAUCACUGACAGCAGGUGUUCUUGACUAAUUUAUAGAUCUUAGAGGUUUUUCCUCUCUCAAGUUUUCUUGUGUUGAAGUUAAAGCAUUGCUCUUAAGUUAACAAAAAAUGUUUUUCUGGAUCUGCUUUCUAAUUUGGUAGCCUGUUCUGGUUAUUUAGCACUUUGCUAUAACAUUCUCCUCAGGAAAAGUUUGAAUGUUGUGCCAUAGGGUCACUAUCACUGCUAUAAAGAGUACAUGAAUACUAGCUGUAAUGUCCCUUAUUUAGUCUUGGUGUGCGUAUAGAAAUUUAUCUUACUUGCACUAUCCCUUUCCAACACAUAUGAGGAGAUAUAAAUCAAUAGGCAGUAACAGCCAGAUCAGUCCAAUGCUCAGGACAAAAUACAGUUAUUUCAUGUAUUUCAUGUAAAAUAUAUAUCUACAAGUGAGGAAGUGACAUGCUCAGUCUCUACAGGUCUCAUAAAAUUAGACAUGCAUAGCCAUGAAAUGGUCUAUCUGUGCAUUUGUACUGUGCACCCCUGGCUGCAGUUGUACAUGCCACGAAGGCACUCUGGAUGGCUGGGGCAGCAUCAAGCACAUCCAAGUCAGAGUUGCUAUUUAGGGAUUUUGGAAGAACAGAGAAUAGAAAGCAUGAUAAACCUCUUUUCAUCUUUACACAAAUAAUGGCUACAACUAAUUAUUAGUGGGGCUUAGUCUCACUAGCCCCUAGUCACCAGCCCCCUCUAGAUUAUCCUGUGCAUGCAAGGCAGCUGCUACUACAUUCUGAGCAGAGCAAAUCAGGAAAAGAAUGGGACUGGAAAUACUGCAGUUGCAGUUACAGCAAUUGUUUGUGAUAAAGAGAGGAUCUCACCAGCUGCCGGGGAAAAAUGCGAUUUUUGGGGUAGUUGGCAUAAACAGUUAGUAAUCCCUGACUUAACUCCAGCUACACAGACAAGAAAGAAUGAGCUUUCUGAAUUAAGCAGGUCUUCACUGAAGGGAGUGUCUCUGGAGAAAUCCUCUAUGCAGCAAAGUACAGGAUAUCUUACAAGAAUUACUCUUUUCCCCUUACAUUUUUUCUAACUUAAUUUAUUGUUGCUGAAAGGUGUCAGGCUUAUUAUUAUUAUUUGUCGUGGUACCAAAAGGCCUGUGAGGAUCAGGGCCCAUUGGACAGAUGUAUUGUACGAGAUAGACAUCACAAUGAAGACUAGAGUCCUUUAUCCAAAUAGCAGCUAUGGCACUAGUGCAAAGUCCCUACACACUGCCACACCAAUACGUCUCAAGGUUAUUAGAGGAACCAAAUCUAGGGGACAGGAGUUCAGUCCAUGGCCUCUCUGUUGAGACUUCUAAGAAGCAAGGAUGGAUUUAUGAAUAGGGCCCAGUGAAUAAAUAAGUUUUGGAGGCUCCCAAUAGCGAGGACCUCUGUGAGUGAUGAAACAUCUGUUGGGGAAAUAAUGCCUUCUCUCAUUUCUUUCCUUUAAGUCUAUUUAACACACUGAAGCUAAAAUUAUCUUCAUUGCCUGAUACUCUGUAUUCCAUUAUAAAGCCCUUGAUCUAUCCAUUCCCAUGAAAAUGAGAUAUUUAUAUGUUGAGAUUCUAGAUUCUCAUUGCAUCUGCCCAGAUUUCUAAAGGAGAACAUACAAAAUGUAACAAAAGGAAAAAAGAUAGUAUUAGAAAAAAUAUAUGCAACAGACAGAUAUCUGUGAAAUUCUUAUAAACUACAAACUGGAUACAUAAAAACGUGAAACUCUGAAAGAUCUCGACAGGAGGAAAACAACACAUAGCAGACUGUAAUAAAAAAAGAAAAAUUAAGUCAGAUCUCCAACAGGGAAAAUAUACUUCAGAACCAGCCAUAAACACAAAUAGAACUAAAGCAAUCACUGUUCAUCAGAUAAAAAGCAGAAUUUGAAUUGCAUGAAAGAAGCUUUGCAUUUGUCAGGAGUUUCAUUGAACAAAACAAGUUAACCCACCAAAAUAUUUCUCUGUCUUGAAGGAAACACAACCUAUAAGAUGAGUAGUAUUAAUUGAAUGGGGCAGUAAAUGGUAGGGACCGUUAUUAAUAACCCCAUCCAAAUAAAGGACUGGGGGCGAGGGGAAGCAGCCAAGCUAAUUGCUGGUGCCCCCUUGUGGCGGAUGUCCAAAGCAGGUACUCCAUAGGGAGGGGAUACAGUGAUCAGAUAAGUGGUUUGGUAAAGGAUUUAAAGGAGCUGUUUGUUAUAGAAGCGGAAUUGGGGUGGGUGAGUUGGGGUGUCUAGACUGCAUGGCUGUGAACCAACCUGCCCCCGCUCCCUUAAUAGCCCACUUUAACCCUCAUUUCAGGGAGGAUGGUAAGGUCCCAGCAGUGGGUUGGCUGGGGACCAGGAUGGAAAAAAUCAGGGGAGGCUGACGGAAGCCCCCACGUAGCUAUUGAAAUGAUCGUGAAGUUACCUGCACUAUACACUUUUAUCUGCCAGGUAGUUGCAGCCAUCUAAUAAUAAAGUUAAGGGCUAAUUAAACCACAUCCAGUGUAUCCUGUCUUUAUUCCGGUAUAGCUGGACAGUGUUCAUACUUAAAAUCUUUCUCCUAAGACUGAUAUUAUAAUGUAGGGUAUUAGUUUGUACCUAGGAGAAUUAUAGUUUACUGGGUUGUGCAAGUGCAUGAUUCCCUUUGAUAUCAUAGUGUGGCCCUGAUAGUG